rnacentral:rRNA from 1 species
UUAAAUUGAAGAGUUUGAUCAUGGCUCAGAUUGAACGCUGGCGGCAGGCCUAACACAUGCAAGUCGAACGGUAACAGGAAACAGCUUGCUGUUUCGCUGACGAGUGGCGGACGGGUGAGUAAUGUCUGGGAAACUGCCUGAUGGAGGGGGAUAACUACUGGAAACGGUAGCUAAUACCGCAUAACGUCGCAAGACCAAAGAGGGGGACCUUCGGGCCUCUUGCCAUCGGAUGUGCCCAGAUGGGAUUAGCUAGUAGGUGGGGUAACGGCUCACCUAGGCGAC